rnacentral:rRNA from 1 species
GACGAACGCUGGCGGCGUGCUUAACACAUGCAAGUCGAACGGUGAAGCGCCUUCCUUUUUGGUGGGUGUGGAUGAGUGGCGAACGGGUGAGUAACACGUGAGUAACCUGCCCCCUUCUUCUGGAUAACCGCAUGAAAGUGUGGCUAAUACGGGAUAUUCUGGGUCUGUCGCAUGAUGGGUCUGGGAAAGAUAUUGUUUCGGUGGGGGAUGGGCUCGCGGCCUAUCAGCUUGUUGGUGGGGUGAUGGCCUACCAAGGCGGUGACGGGUAGCCGGCCUGAGAGGGUGGACGGUCACACUGGGACUGAGACAAGGCCGAGACUCCUACGGGAGGCAGAAGUGGGGAAUAUUGAACAAUGGGCGCAAGCCUGAUGCAGCGACGCCGCGUGAGGGAUGGAGGCCUUCGGGUUGUGAACCUCUUUCGCCAGUGAAGCAGGCCUGCCUCGUUUGUGGGUGGGUUGACGGUAGCUGGAUAAGAAGCGCCGGCUAACUACGUG